rnacentral:rRNA from 1 species
GAUGAACGCUGGCGGCGUGCUUAACACAUGCAAGUCGAACGAUGAACCUCACUUGUGGGGGGAUUAGUGGCGAACGGGUGAGUAACACGUGAGUAACCUGCCCUUGACUCUGGGAUAAGCCUGGGAAACCGGGUCUAAUACUGGAUACGACCUUCUGGCGCAUGCCAUGUUGGUGGAAAGCUUUUGUGGUUUUGGAUGGACUCGCGGCCUAUCAGCUUGUUGGUGGGGUAAUGGCCUACCAAGGCGACGACGGGUAGCCGGCCUGAGAGGGUGACCGGCCACACUGGGACUGAGACACGGCCCAGACUCCUACGGGAGGCAGCAGUGGGGAAUAUUGCACAAUGGGCGCAAGCCUGAUGCAGCGACGCCGCGUGAGGGAUGAAGGCCUGCGGGUUGUAAACCUCUUUCAGGAGGGAAGAAGCCGGCUUUUGGGUUGGUGACGGUACCUGCAGAAGAAGCGCCGGCUAACUACGUG